UACAGAGGGUGCAAGCGUUAAUCGGAUUUACUGGGCGUAAAGGGCGCGUAGGUGGUAAAGCAAGUAAGAUGUGAAAGCCCUGGGCUUAACCUGGGAAGUGCAUCUUAAACUGCUUAACUAGAGUAUGGUAGAGGGUAGUGGAAUUUCCGGUGUAGCGGUGAAAUGCGUAGAUAUCGGGAGGAACACCUGUGGCGAAAGCGGCUCACUGGACCAUAACUGACGCUGAUGCACGAAAAGCUAGGGGGAGCAAACAGG
rnacentral:rRNA from 1 species